rnacentral:rRNA from 1 species
CCUACGGGAGGCUGCAGUGGGGAAUAUUGGACAAUGGGGGCAACCCUGAUCCAGCCAUGCCGCGUGUGUGAAGAAGGCCCUCGGGUUGUAAAGCACUUUCAGUGAGGAAGAACGCCUGGUGGUUAAUACCCAUCAGGAAAGACAUCACUCACAGAAGAAGCACCGGCUAACUCCGUGCCAGCAGCCGCGGUAAUACGGAGGGUGCGAGCGUUAAUCGGAAUUACUGGGCGUAAAGCGCGCGUAGGUGGCUUGAUAAGCCGGUUGUGAAAGCCCCGGGCUCAACCUGGGAACGGCAUCCGGAACUGUCAAGCUAGAGUGCAGGAGAGGAAGGUAGAAUUCCCGGUGUAGCGGUGAAAUGCGUAGAGAUCGGGAGGAAUACCAGUGGCGAAGGCGGCCUUCUGGACUGACACUAACACUGAGGUGCGAAAGCGUGGGUAGCAAACAGGAUUAGAUACCCUUGUAGUC